UCACCCCUCAAGCCCCCGGCUUGGUGUUGGACGGCUUGGUGGAGACCCUUUUGUGGCCCACCCCUCCCAAAGACAAUGACGGCGGCCUCGUUGGACCCCCGGUACACUGAGUUCUUCACGGGACACGUAUCGGACACACGGGUUUACGGGUCACGGUCUGCCUCCCCUCAGGGAGAACUUUUCUAA
rnacentral:misc_RNA from 1 species